AAUCAUAAUGUAUGUGAUCAACUCUUGUUCUAUUUUCAAUUUGAGGAGAAACUCUUUCAACAAAAUAGUAGAAUGAACUAGCAUCAUCAAGUUUUUUUGCAUAGAAAUUAGGGCAUACCUAUUUGGGUUGGAUAUUUUGUUCUUUUGAUUAACAUUUAUUUUUCUAGAUGUUGACUUUUGCUCUUACCUUUUUAAUAAUAAAUCUUUAGUAUGUUAGUAUAUCAAGCCUGAAAAGCAUCUCUCAAUCAAUUUUCAUCUUUUAUAGUUCAUUUGCUCAAAAUCCAGGUUUUCAAAUGCUAGCUCAAUAGUUCAUGUAUUAUGCAAUUCUUAGCCUCAAAGGUGUUAAUCUCAAAACACAAUAAUAGAAACAAUCAUACAUGUUCACAAAAAUAUAAAAACAAAAGUGAUGGACAAAGUUGUGUGUGGAAAACUAU
rnacentral:lncRNA from 7 species